UUCAUUUACUGCCAGUUACCAGUAUAUUGAGUGACCCCUUGAUUCGAACGAAAAAAAUAUUUCUUCAGCAACACUUCUUUGUUUAUUGAUUUUCAGUUGCUAUAUAGCAACCAUGGUAUGUAUACAAAAUCAACUGCCUAGUUACAGGAAAAACUGGAAAAAAAGUAAUUGACAUCGUAAGCACUCUCGUUCUUCUUACGAGGAACCUGCAACGGUUGUAGAAACAAGAAGCGGCUAUUCUUCAAAGGAUACAUCACCUGAGAUUGAGCACAAGGAGUUUAGAGACUCCAGCGAUAGAGGUCCGAUUUUGAUGCGCUUUACUGCCUAACGGGUGUACUCCAAUCCAAACAAACCAAAUCUGAGAGCGUAAAUGCAAAAUUCCCAACCAAAGCUUAAUAAACUGAAAAAAUAAGUUGCGCUGAACAACACUCUCAACAAUAAUAGUGCAGUGCUUUAACGAGUGAGCUCACGCAGCGGAGCCAGUGUGAUGCGGUUCCGCCGCUUAUCCGAGGCCAAGGAUCCGAAGCGGCGUAAAACCGCUGAGGUUAAGUUGGACGAGGCGUUGAUCAACCCGUCGCCGGAGCCACAAGCCCACCUGUGACCCUCUCGCUGCCCGGCCCACUCAAACACUUAAAACCGACUGAGUGGCUGCGAAAUCGGACAGCACACCAAAAAGCGAUGCGGCGCAGCCACACUAGUCAACCGAACACUGAUUAAUGGGUUGAUCAACGCCUCGUCCAACGUAACCUCAGCGGCCCCACGCCGCUUUGGAUCCCUGUCCUUGGAUAUGCAGCCAAGCCGCACCACAGUCACUCCGCUGAACAAGCCCGCUUGUUAAAGCACUGCACUGUCAUUGUUAUGAGUGUCACCAAGGACAACUCAUUUUUUCAGUUUAUCAAACUCUGGUCAAAAAUUCCACACUUCCGCUCUCAGACUUGGUCCAUUUAGGUCAAAAUACACCUCUUUGGCAAAAAACCGCAUUAAAAUCGGACCUCCAUCACCAAAGUCCCCAAACUAGACAAUUGCCCAGAAAAAGAAAAAUGAAGGAAGAUGGAAAACGUUGCUCUCGUUCCGUUGGCCGAGGAAGCAGUCCUGUUGCUAGGCAUUGUGGAAAUCGGUUGAAAUGGCAGUUCCUCGUCGCCCCAAACGUAUCGAAUGCGGCGUUGAGUUGGAGUAAGAAUUGCAAAGGGCUGCUUGUCUGCCGCAACUUAACGAACAGUUAAACGAGUGAUCCCAGUGGGUACUGACGUCUAAUUUUCUCUCAGUGGGUCGCAAAAGACAGCGACACUGAAGUAGCAGCAAUUUGCAAGGGCAAAAUUGUAUCUCCUUGAACUACAGAUGAAAAAUAUAAGCGGUUUAGCAACAGUGGA